CUGAGCUGGAAAAUAGCACUGAGGUGGUUUCAUGAAAGAGGAAGCAGCAAGGCUGGGCCUUGAAGAACGUGAAGGAGUCACCCAGCUAGAGAGGGCAGGAGGGUGUUCCACGAAGUACAAACAUCAUGAACAGAAAGUCAAAGAGUGAAAGUGAAGGGAGGAUUGGGGAGCAGUGAACAGACAAUGUGAGAGAGCUGCGGCACCAUGGAGAAGAGUAAUGAGAGGGACAUCCUGAAGGAAAGACAAUAUGAAGGACUGUCGAUGCCAAAGAAAGGACUUUCAGCCAUAUGCACGCAAUGGGGAGCAAUGCAAGAUUGUCAACCAAGAGACUGAGGUGACCAGAUCUGCUUCACAGCAGCAGCAGCAGCAGUGUACAUGGAAGAUUAGAGGACCGAGAGAGAUGCAUGUCAGGAAAAUCAGCUAACAGACUCUAAAAUAACUAAGACUUGAGAAAGAUCUGGAUCAAAGCUUUAACAGCAGCAAUAAAGAAAAAAGAAGAGACAUUUCUGUAAUCAGAUCUAGAAAAGUUGAUGACCCCCAGGAUAACAGCCAUGAAAGUGCUGCUACCACAAACAUGAGGAAACUUCUGUUAGGAGUUCAACCUUCAGAGAGGACAGCUGGCAGUGCAAGAUGGUGACAGCCCUGCAAUCAGGAGAAGAAAGUCAUGAGAGUAAGGAAUGAUGGAGAGGGAUGAGAGCGUUUUCUAGGAUUUGAAGACCUGUUUCUCCAGGUUUCCCGCCUCCUUCCACCUUCUGUACAGGACACACCAGUUCCCUCAAGCCCAAAAUGUGAGCAGCUGUCAUUCUCUGCAUAGCCAAGCUCGGCAGUCUGCCGAAAGGGACAAGCCAGUCCCGCAAAGGAAUGAUGUAUGCCAAAAGAUACUGCAUUAGGAUCUUCAUUAACUGGAGGGCCAAUAAAUUU
rnacentral:lncRNA from 1 species